rnacentral:tRNA from 1 species
GCCGAGAUAGCUCAGUUGGGAGAGCGUCAGACUGAAGAUCUGAAGGUCCCUGGUUCAAACCGUACAAAGUUAUGGACUGUCCCGGGUCUCGGCA